rnacentral:miRNA from 14 species
UGUGUGUGUGUGUGUGUGUGUGUCCUCGUUGGUAUGGUGUGAGAGUGGCUGAAACAACAUCGCGGGUGGAGGCUUCGCGAGNCUCGCGAAGCCUCCACCCGCGAUGUUGUUUCAGCCACUCUCACACCAUACCAACGAGGACACACACACACACACACACACA